rnacentral:misc_RNA from 1 species
GUUGCCUUCUAUGCCUCUGCUUUCCGCUAACGAUCUUCCUGCUUAUGACUAUGAUCCUUCCUCCACUGAUACCAUUAUCGAACUUCUUACUAGUCAAUAUGCUAAUAUUGAAGAUGCGGAUCUGCUUUUCUGCAACACUUUUGACAAAUUGGAAGGGGAGAUUAUCAAAUGGAUGGAGGGCUGGGGAAGGCCAGUGAAAACCAUAGGACCAACUAUUCCAUCAGCAUUCUUAGACAGAAGAGUAGAGAAUGACAAGUACUAUGGGCUAAGCCUGUUUGAUCCCAACCAAGAUGACUGU